rnacentral:rRNA from 1 species
UACGGGAGGCAGCAGUGGGGAAUAUUGCACAAUGGGCGCAAGCCUGAUGCAGCCAUGCCGCGUGUAUGAAGAAGGCCUUCGGGUUGUAAAGUACUUUCAGUCGUGAGGAAGGUGUUAAGGUUAAUAACCUUAGCAAUUGACGUUAGCGACAGAAGAAGCACCGGCUAACUCCGUGCCAGCAGCCGCGGUAAUACGGAGGGUGCGAGCGUUAAUCGGAAUUACUGGGCGUAAAGGGCACGCAGGCGGUUAAUUAAGUUGGAUGUGAAAUCCCCGGGCUUAACCUGGGAAUGGCAUUCAAGACUGGUUAGCUAGAGUCUUGUAGAGGGGGUAGAAUUCCAUGUGUAGCGGUGAAAUGCGUAGAGAUGUGGAGGAAUACCGGUGGCGAAGGCGGCCCCGUGGACAAAGACUGACGCUCAUGUGCGAAAGCGUGGGGAGCGAAACAGGGAUUAGAUACC